UGUCACAAUGCAUGGGGCCGAUACCGGCUUCUUCUCAGAGGCCACCAGCAGCCCUUGGUGCCAGCACGUGGGCAAACACCCAGCACGGCUCUAGAGAAACAUAAACAUUGCCUACACGUGAGACCUUCCCGGUCUGGAAGCAGGCAGCCAAUCAGAGGGAGGAAUGAGAAGAUGACAGGGUUUUAUAAACAAAGCUGGCUAAGCCAAUCAGGGAGCGGCACGGCAACAGGUGGGCUGGGCGCUUUCACAAAAUGGCGGCUCCUCACUGUAGAAUGCGGCAUGAAACAAAAUGGUGCCCGCCACUGCAGGGUGGUGGGAGGGAUUGCCUGUCCUGGCCCAUCCCAAAUCCAGGAGGGCCACUCAGCAGCGUAGUCCGGCCCUUGGCAAAUGGCCCUUUCCCCGCCCUGCCAUGCGGUGUAUGCCCAGCGCCUCCAGCUGGUGGCUGGGAAGAGCUUCAGGCUGCAGCCGUGGCGCUGUGGAGCUGUGCUAGCAGCAGAAGCGGCACCUGUGCCUGCUGCAGUGCUCGCGAUCUGACCGGCCAAGUGGUAGCAGGUGCUCCACAGGACACCACGCAGAAGCAAAGGGUCCUGCAACUGUGAAUUUGGGGGAAUGUGAGAGAAGAGGUGGCCUGCGCAUCGUGACUGUGCUUAUGGGGUAUGAAGCUGUGGGGCACUGAUGGCUCGUGCAUGCUUCUUCACAUGCGCCUUCUUUUCUCGGUGAGGGAUACAAGUCAGCUGCGAGUCCGCAAGUAUGUCAGCAGGGAUGCGGGAGGCGGUGCCUUGCCUUCCAUGCCUUAAAGCCACACAGAAUACUGAAGAUGCCGGGCCAAACUUGCGCAAGCGUCCACAGCAUCAGAGAGCGUGCAGCAACCUACCAACAGGGCUCAAAGGCCCAGACUCUGCAGGGGCUCUUCCGAUGGGACAUUUGCUAAAAAGAAACUCCAAAGCUGCCAGAACUGCAGGCAGUGAAGGACGCCUUGCUUUACCCAUGCACGGUGCCCUGCAGGCUCUUGUGCGUGCUCUCUGGGGCCUGCAGCUUCCCUCAGGACACAUCGACCCGCGCCGGCGUGCUCUCUUCCAAGGGUUGCGCUGCAUUAGAAUUUUGAUUCUGGCGCCAGAACCACCCCCUGCUCUUCCUCCUCCUCCUGCUCCUCCUCCCGUUCCUCCUCCUGCUCCUCCUCUUGCUCGUCCUGACCCCCCAAAGCCUUCCUCCCCCUCCUUCCUCCCGCUCCGACUCUCACCUUGGCCUUUGCACAGCUGUUUCUCACACUUUCUCCUCCUCACUCCCCACUGCUGAGCAGCAGGUUGCCCUGUUUGGCGGUCCUUGCCAAGCAUGCUUUCUCCUAAGGCACCGCCUUCCUGGCUGCCAGGCUCUGCCCUGCCCUGCGGCAGUGCCGCUGGAAGCGGCAUUGUCACAAUGCAUGGGGCCGAUACCGGCUUCUUCUCAGAGGCCACCAGCAGCCCUUGGUGCCAGCACGUGGGCAAACACCCAGCACGGCUCUAGA